rnacentral:rRNA from 1 species
UACGGGGGGAGCAAGCGUUGUUCGGAUUUACUGGGCGUAAAGGGCGCGUAGGCGGCGCAACAAGUCACUUGUGAAAUCUCCGGGCUUAACUCGGAACGGUCAAGUGAUACUGUCGUGCUAGAGUACAGAAGGGGCAACUGGAAUUCUCGGUGUAGCGGUGAAAUGCGUAGAUAUCGAGAGGAACACCUGCGGCGAAGGCGGGUUGCUGGGCUGAUACUGACGCUGAGGCGCGAAAGCUAGGGGAGCGAACGGG